rnacentral:misc_RNA from 1 species
CUCCUAUUGGACAGAGUUUAGUCAAGAAUAUUGUGGUAAGGCACAAAUAAUCAAUUUGAAAAGAUGGAGGAGAUAACCAAUGUUAUGGAAUAUGAGGAAAUUGCAAGGCGGAAAUUGCCAAAGAUGGUCUUUGACUACUAUGCAUCAGGUGCAGAAGACCAAUGGACUCUCAAGGAGAAUCGCUAUGCAUUCUCUCGAAUUUUGUUUCGACCCCGCAUUCUUAUUGAUGUGAGCAAGAUAGACACGAGUACAAGUGUCUUGGGCUUCAAGAUUUCAAUGCCUAUCAUGAUUGCUCCAACA